rnacentral:rRNA from 1 species
UGGGGAAUAUUGCACAAUGGGCGCAAGCCUGAUGCAGCCAUGCCGCGUGUGUGAAGAAGGCCUCGGGUUGUAAAGCACUUUCAGCGAGGAGGAAGGUGGUGAGCUUAAUACGCUCAUCAAUUGACGUUACUCGCAGAAGAAGCACCGGCUAACUCCGUGCCAGCAGCCGCGGUAAUACGGAGGGUGCAAGCGUUAAUCGGAAUUACUGGGCGUAAAGCGCACGCAGGCGGUUUGUUAAGUCAGAUGUGAAAUCCCCGGGCUCAACCUGGGAACUGCAUUUGAAACUGGCAAGCUAGAGUCUCGUAGAGGGGGGUAGAAUUCCAGGUGUAGCGGUGAAAUGCGUAGAGAUCUGGAGGAAUACCGGUGGCGAAGGCGGCCCCCCUGGACGAAGACUGACGCUCAGGUGCGAAAGGCGUGGGGAGCAAACAGGAUUAGAUACCCCUGGUAGUCCACGCUAUAAACGAUGUCGAUUUUGGAGGUUGUGCCCCUUGAGGCGUGGCUUCCGGAGCUAACGCGUUAAAUCGACCGCC